rnacentral:rRNA from 1 species
AGAAUCAACGCUGGCGGCGUGCCUAACACAUGCAAGUCGCACGAGAAAGGGUAGCAAUACCUGAGUAAAGUGGCGCACGGGUGAGUAACACGUGAAUGAUCUACCUCCGAGUGGGGAAUAACUGAGAGAAAUCUUAGCUAAUACCGCAUAACACUUACGAGUCAAAGCAGCAAUGCGCUUGGAGAGGAGUUCGCGGCCGAUUAGUUAGUUGGCGGGUAAUGGCCCACAAGACGAUGAUCGGUA